rnacentral:rRNA from 1 species
GAUGAACGCUGGCGGCGUGCCUAAUACAUGCAAGUCGAGCGGACUUUCAAGAAGCUUGCUUUUUGAAAGUUAGCGGCGGACGGGUGAGUAACACGUGGGCAACCUGCCUGCAAGACGGGGAUAACUCCGGGAAACCGGGGCUAAUACCGGAUAAUAUCUUCCUUCGCAUGAAGGAAGGUUGAAAGGCGGCGCAAGCUGCCGCUUGCAGAUGGGCCCGCGGCGCAUUAGCUAGUUGGUGAGGUAACGGCUCACCAAGGCGACGAUGCGUAGCCGACCUGAGAGGGUGAUCGGCCACACGGGGACUGGGCCCCGGCCCAGACUCCUACGGGGGGCAGCGGUAGGGAAUCUUCCGCAAUGGACGAAAGUCUGACGGAGCAACCCCGCGUGAGCGAAGAAGGUUUUCGGAUCGUAAAGCCUUGUUGUAAGGGAAAAACAAGUCCCGUUCGAACGGGGCGGUCCCUUGACGGUACCUGACCAAAAAACCCCGGCUAACUCCGU